AAUCAACGCUGGCGGCGUGCCUCAGACAUGCAAGUCGAACGAUUAAAGCUCUCUUCGGAGAGUGUAUAGAGUGGCGCACGGGUGAGUAACACGUAAGUAAUCUACCUUUGAGUGGGGAAUAGGCCCGGGGAAACCCGAGCUAAUACCGCAUAAUGCAGCGGCACCGCAAGGUGACAGUUGUUAAAAGGAGCAAUCCGCUUAAAAGAGGAGCUUGCGGCAGAUUAGCUAGUUGGUAAGGUAAUGGCUUACCAAGGCUUCGAUCUGUAUCCGGCCUGAGAGGGCGGUCGGACACACUGACACUGAAUAACGGGUCAGACUCCUACGGGAGGCAGCA
rnacentral:rRNA from 1 species